GAUGAACGCUGGCGGCGUGCUUAACACAUGCAAGUCGAACGAUGAAGCCCAGCUUGCUGGGUGGAUUAGUGGCGAACGGGUGAGUAACACGUGAGUAACCUGCCCUUAACUCUGGGAUAAGCCUGGUCAACUGGGUCUAAUACCGGAUAGGAGCGUCCACCGCAUGGUGGGUGUUGGAAAGAUUUAUCGGUUUUGGAUGGACUCGCGGCCUAUCAGCUUGUUGGUGGGGUAAUGGCUCACCAAGGCGACGACGGGUAGCCGGCCUGAGAGGGUGACCGGCCACACUGGGACUGAGACACGGCCCAGACUCCUACGGGAGGCAGCAGUGGGGAAUAUUGCACAAUGGGCGCAAGCCUGAUGCAGCGACGCCGCGUGAGGGAUGACGGCCUUCGGGUUGUAAACCUCUUUCAGUAGGGAAGAAGCGAAAGUGACGGUACCUGCAGAAGAAGCACCGGCUAACUACGUG
rnacentral:rRNA from 1 species